UACGUAGGCAGCAAACGUUGUUCGGAAUUACUGGGCGUAAAGAGUGUGUAGGCGGCUUUGUAAGUUCUGUGUGAAAUCUCCCGGCUCAACUGGGAGGGUGCCGCCGAAUACUGCAAGGCUUGAGUACUGGAGAGGAUAGCGGAAUUCCUGGUGUAGCGGUGAAAUGCGCAGAUAUCAGGAGGAACACCGAGUGGCGAAGGCAGGGCUCUGGGCC
rnacentral:rRNA from 1 species